GCCGCCGCGGUAAUACGGAGGAUGCGAGCGUUAUCCGGAUUUAUUGGGUUUAAAGGGAGCGUAGGUGGUUUAUUAAGCAAGCUGUGAAAUACUGCCGCUCAACGGCAGCCGUGCAGUUUGAACUGGUAGACUUGAGUGUACAAGAGGAAAGUGGAAUUCGUGGUGUAGCGGUGAAAUGUUUAGAUAUCACGAAGAACUCCAAUUGCGUAGGCAGCUUUCUAGGGUACAACUGACACUGAGGCUCGAAAGUGCGGGUAUCGAACAGGAUUAGAUACCCC
rnacentral:rRNA from 1 species